rnacentral:rRNA from 1 species
GAGUUUGAACCUGGCUCAGGAUGAACGCCGGCGGUGUGCCUAAUACAUGCAAGUCGUACGCACUGGCCCAACUGAUUGAUGGUGCUUGCACCUGAUUGACGAUGGAUCACCAGUGAGUGGCGGACGGGUGAGUAACACGUAGGUAACCUGCCCCGGAGCGGGGGAUAACAUUUGGAAACAGAUGCUAAUACCGCAUAACAACAAAAGCCACAUGGCUUUUGUUUGAAAGAUGGCUUUGGCUAUCACUCUGGGAUGGACCUGCGGUGCAUUAGCUAGUUGGUAAGGUAGCGGCUUACCAAGGCGAUGAUGCAUAGCCGAGUUGAGAGACUGAUCGGCCACAAUGGAACUGAGACACGGUCCAUACUCCUACGGGAGGCAGCAGUAGGGAAUCUUCCACAAUGGGCGCAAGCCUGAUGGAGCAACACCGCGUGAGUGAAGAAGGGUUUCGGCUCGUAAAGCUCUGUUGUUGGAGAAGAACGUGCGUGAGAGUAACUGUUCACGCAGUGACGGUAUCCAACCAGAAAGUCACGGCUAACUACGUGCCAGCAGCCGCGGUAAUACGUAGGUGGCAAGCGUUAUCCGGAUUUAUUGGGCGUAAAGCGAGCGCAGGCGGUUGCUUAGGUCUGAUGUGAAAGCCUUCGGCUUAACCGAAGAAGUGCAUCGGAAACCGGGCGACUUGAGUGCAGAAGAGGACAGUGGAACUCCAUGUGUAGCGGUGGAAUGCGUAGAUAUAUGGA